UUUCCGUAGGUGAACCUGCGGAAGGAUCAUUACCGGGCUCCUGCCCUCUGGGUAGAGACGCCACCCUUGCGUACCUGACCGCUGUUGCUUUGGCGGGCUGUGCCCGCCAGAGGCCCCAAACCCUGAGUGUGCGUGUCGUCGGAGCAGUACCUAAUAGUUAAAACUUUCAACAACGGAUCUCUUGGUUCUG
rnacentral:misc_RNA from 1 species